GUUUAAGCAGACCUCCUGUGUGCAGGCACUGUGCCAGAUAGAAAUUUGUCAGUGCCAAAAUGCAUGAAGAGAACCAAUCAUUUUAUCCUGGAGAAACUGAGGCCCAGAGAUGGAAGGAGGAGAGCCUGUCUCAGAGCCCCAUGUCCUCAUGCCCAGGAAUUUGCCGCACCCCAGGGAUUGGACCCAGGUCACAACCAAGGAAGCUGCACAAGAUCUGAAG
rnacentral:lncRNA from 10 species